rnacentral:rRNA from 1 species
AAUGCGUAGAGAUCAGGAAGAACACCGGUGGCGAAAGCGCUCUGCUGGGCUACAACUGACACUGAGGGACGAAAGCUAGGGGAGCGAAUGGGAUUAGAUACCCCAGUAGUCCUAGCGGUAAACGAUGGAAACUAGGUGUGGCCUGUAUCGACCCGGGCCGUGCCGGAGCAAACGCGUUAAGUUUCCCGCCUGGGGAGUACGCACGCAAGUGUGAAACUCAAAGGAAUUGACGGGGGCCCGCACAAGCGGUGGAGUAUGUGGUUUAAUUCGAUGCAACGCGAAGAACCUUACCAGGACUUGACAUCUCUGGAAUCUUUCUGAAAGGAGAGAGUGCC